rnacentral:rRNA from 1 species
UUGAGCGAUUUACUUCGGUAAAGAGCGGCGGACGGGUGAGUAACGCGUGGGUAACCUACCCUGUACACACGGAUAACAUACCGAAAGGUAUGCUAAUACGGGAUAACAUAUUUGAUAGGCAUCUUUUGUAUAUCAAUGGUGAGCCAGUACAGGACCGACCCGCGUCAGAUUAUCCAGUAGGUAAGGUAACAGCUUACCACGGCGUCGAUCAGUAAGCGAUCUGCGAGGCUGAUCUGUCAUAAUGGCACUGACUCACGGCCUAAAAUCCUACGGGUCUCUGCAGUGCGGAACAUUGCACAAUUGUCAACAGACUGUUUCAGAACCCCCGCGU